AACCUGCCCCUCANAGGGGGACAACAGUUGGAAACGACUGCUAAUACCGCAUACGAUUCAACCUCGGCAUCGAGGAUGGAUGAAAGGUGGCCUCUAUUUAUAAGCUAUCACUGAAGGAGGGGAUUGCGUCUGAUUAGCUAGUUGGAGGGGUAACGGCCCACCAAGGCAAUGAUCAGUAGCCGGUCUGAGAGGAUGAACGGCCACAUUGGGACUGAGACACGGCCCAGACUCCUACGGGAGGCAGCAUG
rnacentral:rRNA from 1 species